GCUUUCAAAGUUUGAUUCUUGCUUAGACGUUAAUUGCACACUUAAUUUCACAUGCAAUGCGCUUUUAACACUUGUAGUUUGCAGUGUUUAAUUUUAGUCUCUAAGGGAUCUUAGGUCUAGUUAGUGGUUAGAGCCGGCUAAAUUCGUGCCAGCCGCCGCGGUUAUACGGCGGGCUCAUAUUAACGUUAUUGGGUGUUUGUGGUUAUAUGUUAUAUGUUUGAUUUUAGAAUGGUUUGGUUAGGGAGGUGGAAUUUUCACUCUUUGUUAGGUCUAUGUUUAUUGUUAAUUUCCCUUAAGAUGGUUAGUAAGACCAGGAUUAGAUACCCUGUUAUUCCAUUGUGGGCCUGGGUAGUAAAAGCUAUUGGCUUCAAACCCAAAGAAUUUGGCGGCACUUCAGUCCUUUUAGAGGAACUUGUCCCAUAAUCGAUAAUCCACGAUUACUGGUACCUUUGCUUGUAAACUCAGUUUGUAUACCGCCGUCGUUGACUACUUCUUGAGUUGGUUUUCUGUCUUGCAUGUUCUGUUGAAUGACAGGUCAAGGUGCAGCUUAUGCAUUGUGGGGUGAUGAGUUACAUUGGUUUUAACCACACGGAUCAAUUACUGUAUAGUUUUGGUGAAGGUGGAUUUGAUAGUAAUUUCUUCACUUUAGGGGAGGUGAAUUUGGCUCUGGGGUGUGUACAUAUCGCCCGUCGCUCUCGCUAUAAGGUGAGAUAAGUCGUAACAUAGUAAAGGUACUGGAAAGUGCCUCUAGUAGG
rnacentral:ncRNA from 1 species